rnacentral:lncRNA from 1 species
UGCCAUCGAACAAAACACACAAAAGAAAACUUUCGGUACAAAACUUCGUUGUCCUUAAUCCAUCAUCGCGUAAGCCAACUAACUUCCAUCAAUUCAAAUGAUCAUGGAUCUGAAAAGUUUAGCAUAACAUUCUUUGAGUAUAAGAAAAUACUCAGUAAGAUACCAUGCUUGAACAUUUAUCAUGAUAAUACUACACCAAAGAAAACAAUCAAACCCAUACUUCCAUAUUCCGACAUGCCGGUGCCCUUCGGACUUGUCCUAAGGCAUAGAUAUAUCUAACAUUUGUGGAUUUCUCCACCAUAAUCAUAACAUUUGUGGAUUUCUCCACCAUUAACAUACUUUGGUUUUUCAUGCAUAACUUAAGCAUAAAUAUUACCAUGAAAAUCAUACCACAUAAGCAUAGAAGGUAUCUUACCGUAAACUUGAUGAGCUUCGGUUGAGAUGUAAAUUAGAAGUGCUAGUCUUACUUCCUUCCCUUUCCUUUCUAAAUUUCGGUUUUUGCCCUCUUUUCAAAUGUAUAAAUGUUUUGUAGAAAUGAAGGAAAUUUCUUUCUCUAUGGCAUGGAUUAGGAUAUAUUUAUACUUGUAUAAAAGGAUAGGUAUACAAAGAUAUUUUUAUUUUUCUUUUACUUCUUGUGGCCGACUUUGACCCCCCUUCUCUUUUUUUUUUUUUUUUUUUUUUUUUUUUUUUUUUACUUUUUUUUUUUCUUACUUGUACACUUGUUUAAUCCAUGAUCCAAAUGUAUGGUGGUGAUGGAUAACAAGUGGAGCUAAUUAUAGGUAAUUAGUAGCCUAAAAACCUAUAUUUGCAAAGGAAAUCUCUAAUCUUCCAACUAAUAUAAUCCAACCCUCUAUCUUUCAUUAUUAGCACAUGUAUCCCAAAUCUAAACUUAUAUCCAACUUACAUAUCCAAAAAUUAUGGAUCGUAAAUUAAUUUAAUCAUUUGGUCAAUUGAAGUCCUAACAAAAUAAUCGACCACAUUCAAUUUCAUACUUGACUUAAGGUUCGACUAAUUAAUAAUCACUUCGUGUAAACACAACAUUUAACACCUCAUGCUUGUAGUCAUUAGCUACCUCUAACAUUAACUACUACAAAGGUGGUGUUCCAUUUUCAUAUGGCCAAAAAUAGUAUUGAAAGUUAAAUCGCCAUCUUAAAGAAAUUUAAACUAGCAUAAAUUUUCGGAGUAUUACA